rnacentral:rRNA from 1 species
GACGAACCGUGCAAACGUUGUUCGGAAUCACUGGGCUUAAAGGGCGCGUAGGCGGGCAAGCAAGUCGAAGGUGAAAUCCCACGGCUCAACCGUGGAAGUGCCCCCGAUACUGCUUGUCUUGAGGGAGAUGAGGGCGUGCGGAACUUCCGGUGGAGCGGUGAAAUGCGUAGAUAUCGGAAGGAACGACCGGUGGCGAAGGCGGCGUCCUGGACCAACACUGACACUGAGGAGCGAAAGCCAGGG